rnacentral:rRNA from 1 species
UACGUAGGUGGCAAGCGUUGUCCGGAAUUACUGGGUGUAAAGGGAGCGUAGGCGGGAAGCCAAGUUGGGUGUGAAAUACCGCAGCUUAACUGCGGGGCUGCACCCAAAACUGGUUUUCUUGAGUGAUGUAGAGGCAGGCGGAAUUCCUAGUGUAGCGGUGAAAUGCGUAGAUAUUAGGAGGAACACCAGUGGCGAAGGCGGCCUGCUGGGCAUCAACUGACGCUGAGGCUCGAAAGCGUGGGGAGCAAACAGG